AACAGGGGGGGCAAGCGUUAUUCAUCAUGACUAAGCGUACAGGGUUUCGUAGACGUAUAUUUGAAUUGUAUCAAAAAUCUAUAUUAAAUAUAUAGAACCUAUAUAAAAUUGAAUAUAUUAUUUGGAUUGUUUUCGUGUUAUUGGAACGCCUAGUGUAGUGAUUAAAUACCUCGAGAUUAGGCAGAACGCCGGUGGUGAAGACGUAUAACAAGAAACAAUUGACGUUGAAGUACGAAAGUGUGGGGAGCAAACCGG
rnacentral:rRNA from 1 species